rnacentral:rRNA from 1 species
UUAGUGGCGGACGGGUGAGUAACGCGUGGAAAACCUGCCGUAUACUGGGGGAUAACACUUAGAAAUAGGUGCUAAUACCGCAUAAGCGCACAGCUUCGCAUGAAGCGGUGUGAAAAACUCUGGUGGUAUACGAUGGUUCCGCGUCUGAUUAGCUAGUUGGUGGGGUAAUGGCCUACCAAGGCAACGAUCAGUAGCCGGCCUGAGAGGGUGAACGGCCCAUUGGGACUGAGACACGGCCCAAACUCCUACGGGAGGCAGCAG